AAGGAACGCGCCUGGCGUCACUGAGGGUGUCACCCGGGACCGCGGCUCAGGGACCCCACACGCAUGGGCCUUGUGCUGUCGUUGCCGUGGCACCCCUUCUAGAAGUUGUGAAGGGCCCUCGUGACUGGGCCUCAUGCCAAACAACUCGUUACAAAAAGAGCUAUGGUCUCAGACCACACCGAAGCUUCAUGAGACCUCUCCUCAUCUGUGCACGGACAAGUGUCUGACUCUGGAGCCCAGGCUGUUGCUUUCCAGUCUGGUGGUGAAUCCUUCAGUCUGGAUUGAGAUGUUGGAAGCUUUAUAAUGUUGAUUAUGAUGAUACCCAAGACUCAAGUUUAAGAAGGAAAGGAAGCAGUAAGAUCAUACCUGCUAUUAGUAUAGUCAUCACAGUUGUUGUGUAAAGAAAAUCUAGGUAUCUUGCACCAAGAAGUGGAAAAUACAGAAAAGAAACGAGAACCAUGUUUGUACUGGCUGUCUAUAAAAUAAGAGUUGUAGGUACAUGAAAUCCACUGGUGUGCUGGUAAAUGUUUAAUAACCAGUCCUCUGGAAAGGAGAAAGUUGAAGACCCCAUUUAUACAUUUGCUCAUUUCUGUGUUGUAAAUACUCUGAAGAUAGCUGAUUUCGAGCUAUCAACAUAUUACUGAAGAUGGAGCUGGGAAGAGGGAGAAGUUAAGUGAAGUUUUCCAACCCCCAGCUGUUUUGGCUGAGGUUCCAAAGACUGAGAAUAAAUCAGUAUCUGCCCAGUCACCACUGUGUGCCAAAGGAGUUGCUGGAUUGCCUCUUCAGGACAUGCUACAUGG
rnacentral:antisense_RNA from 1 species